AACAAACAUCAACCAAAUAUAUUAACUUUGAACUUCAAACUUCGAAUUUCAAUUUCCAAAUGACAAUUUUCGGUAAAUUAAAACUCAAGAAAAGAGAGCCAAAUAAAAAUUAUAAAAUUAGAAUAUGAAAUCUUGCAAAUUGAAGGGAAGAGAGAAAUUGAGAAUUGAGAUUGAGACAAGAAUUUUGAGUGAAGAAAUGAAGAAGAGGGGGAGGGUAUUUAUAGAUUUUAAGAAGGGUUAAUAUUGUAAAUUAAUAAAUACAAGAAAAU
rnacentral:lncRNA from 1 species